rnacentral:rRNA from 1 species
UACGAAGGGAGCUAGCGUUGUUCGGAAUCACUGGGCGUAAAGCGCACGUAGGCGGACUUGUCAGUCAGGGGUGAAAUCCCGGGGCUCAACCUCGGAACUGCCUUUAAAACUGCAUCGCUUGAAUCCGGGAGAGGUGAGUGGAAUUCCGAGUGUAGAGGUGAAAUUCGUAGAUAUUCGGAAGAACACCAGUGGCGAAGGCGGCUCACUGGACCGGCAUUGACGCUGAGGUGCGAAAGCGUGGGGAGCAAACAGG